UACGAAGGGUGCAAGCGUUACUCGGAAUUACUGGGCGUAAAGCGUGCGUAGGCGGUUUGCUAAGACCGGUGUGAAAUCCCCGGGCUUAACCUGGGAACUGCGCUUGUAACUGGCAAGCUUGAGUGUGGCAGAGGGGGGUGGAAUUCCACGUGUAGCAGUGAAAUGCGUAGAGAUGUGGAGGAACACCGAUGGCGAAGGCAGCCACCUGGGCUAACACUGACGCUCAUGCACGAAAGCGUGGGGAGCAAACAGG
rnacentral:rRNA from 1 species